rnacentral:lncRNA from 1 species
CAAUGUCCAAAAGGAAAAUGCAAGAGAAGAUUGUGGAUUUAAUUUUCCUGAAGCAAUGGAAUAGCUGAGAAAGUGGAAGAUCACAGAACAUGUUAUUUGGAUUUCUUCAAAUAAAUAUCACAUUCAAAAAUGUGGUAUAUCACAAUUGAUAUAUCAGCAAAUGAAAUACCUCCAAAGAGUAAGUCUCAAAUAAUAAACACGGUGUUGAGAACUCCAUCAAUCACUUUUAAGCUGUGCUGCGACGCCUCGCUCUCCCUGGGACCUCACGAUACCACUCUUGAGGGAAGAUACAAGAAGAGGCCCAGUCUCUCUCUGGAACGUGAAGAACAGGAUGGGAUCUAAGAUGUGCUAAGUAGCUCAAGUGUAACCAUCACCCUAUGCUUGAGUCACCCAUCUGAGAAUUCCCAGGGCAAUGCUCAGCAUCACGGGAAACCAAGAAAUACUCAAAACAUUCUCAAGAUCUGAAAAUGAAACCGAACAGAGUCCGAUUAUAAGUGAGGUGAAAGGAGUAGGAGCAGAGGACCUGGAAGAACCUGUGGCCCGUGAGCCCUCCUGAAGAGUCUGCAAUCAUCACUCCGUUUUCAUCCUGGGAGAGUGGCUUCUCCUGCCUGCUGGUUCAAGGAAUCUGGAGAUUUCCCUUCUUCCUAUAGCAAAGCCAGGCUUAAUAAACAUGUGCUAUUUUCUCUAGAAUCCUUAGGUGUUUGUGGUUAGAAGGUUUCAGGGUAGCCAGAACUGGCAUGUUGCUAGGUACAGAAUCCAUGCAGUUGAAUAUGUCUUAUAAUUAUCUACCAGCUUCUACUAAAAUAUCUCUACUGGGCUAGAACUAUAUAGG